rnacentral:lncRNA from 1 species
UUCGACAACUCUGAGAACAUUGCAGGCAAGAUAUCAUACCCUCGAUGUCACUUCUAUCUUUGAUUGCUAUUUGUUCGCUCUAUCGCUAAGUUGCGCUACCUAACACUUGUUAUAUCAUGCCUCCCAUAUUGCCAUGUCAAGCAUCUAACCCACCUUCCUAGCAAACCGUUGUUUGGCUAUGUUACCGCUUUUUUUAGCCCCUCUUAUAGCGCUGUUAGUUGCAGGUGAAGUUGAAGUUUGUUCCAUGUUGGAACAUGGAUAUGUUGGGAUAUCACUUUAUCUCUUAUUUAAUAAACUAGCAAAGUGCCCCGCUCGAUGCGCGGGCUAGAUCUUUUGAAAGUUUAAUAAUGAGAGUAUGUUAUUUGUAUUGAAAAAUUGGGACCAAAUAUAAUUACAUUUGAAAUAUAGUACUUUUGCGAACAUAGUUCUAUAUAUAUUCUCCAUUUAUUACUUACAUGCCUAGUAUGCAUGUCAUAGUAAAUGUAUUUUCAUGAUGAAUCCCGCUGGCCAAUUCAUGUUCUGUAUAUUUUUUCUAGCAUUUCCUCUUUAAACAUUGAGUUAUUUGCACGGGCUAGUACUUAACAAAAUUUAGUAACGCAAGAAUGUAAAUAUUGGUUAUUUUUGUCAGUUGUUCGUCAGUGGCGGUUGUAAACACAAUUUUACCUUUAUACAUAUCCUUGGUGGUUUUCCCUGUAGAGAACCUCCCUUCCAUGUUUUAGGAAAUAUUGGUCACUAACAUUCUCAUCAAAAUCUUCGGGAGUGCGUUGCUCCAACCCGUGGCUUUUCUUGAUGCGACCGCUCAAAUGGAUCUUAUAAUUUUUUUGAAAGUCUCAUGCCCUUUUCAUUACUAAUGAAUUGGUGUUCGUCGUGUGUGGCAAUUUGACAUGAAAAUGGUAGUUCCAUAUGCAUAGUCUAAAUAUAAAUGAUUGGUACCGGAUAGAUAUUUUUUUAUGAUCAUGUACUAUAAUUCUUUUUGCAUGCAUUUGUUUAGAAUAUUCUGAGAGAAAAUUAUACUGUGAUUUAGGUUCAACCCACGUCGUGAACUCUAUCAUUAUAGUGCGUGUAUACUGUAAGUAAUCUUAGUUUAUGCGUAUGUAUAAGUGCAUGCGUCUGUAGUGUGUUAGGAAAUAUGUAUACUGCACAUAAUUGAAUUUGCAUUUUCUAUUAUUUCUACAUAAAGGAGAAUUUUUCUGGUGGAUUGAUUUGUUGUGCUUUAGCCCAACAGAUUCGCACUGACGUACCCAACGUUCAAGUCUUCUCUCGCACUCGUCGCCUCUAAAAAAAUCUUCUCUCGCACUCACACCUUGUCGUUUCUAAUCCUCAAAAAUAAAAUAAAAAAUGGUUACUGUUUCUUGAUCCCCUUUUCAUUUCCUUCUUUCCUCUCGCUCCUCCUUCAACCAGAUGAGCUCUGGCUGUUAUCGCUGGUAAUUGGUGCUGCGGAUUCAAUCCCAACAGCACCUCAGUUUUCUCUCUUGAUUCCCUGCCGCGACCUUGCUCGUACUCACUUGCACGCACACCUGCAGCUCAACUCACUGGUGCGGCCAUGGGGUUGCCGUCUACGGCACCUGGUUUGGCUCCUAUACGCCUCGUCAAUCUCUCAGACCGGUCAACGGCGACGGAGUGGUAGUAGGGCCCAAGGAGAAGUGGCUCUAGGGAGGAAGCGAGCUUGUCGAUCUCGACGGCCCCGUUGCCGUCGCCGUCCAUCCACGUGAUGUUGGUGUGGAUCUUGUCUCCCGCAACCAGCUUAGAUCCACCUUGAUUUUGAGAUGCCGACGGUGUUGUUUUCGAUCGCAUCGUGGCUGCCCCCGAGCGAGGCAGCCCGACAGUCACCUUCAUCUUACACUUGUAGGUCCUCUUCUCUCUUUUCCUGUCCCUCUCAUGUUUUUGUUUCUUAUCCUUCUUCUGCAUGUGUAUGGGUAAACUAAUGUAAUGCAAUUAAGGUAUUGCUUGUUAGGAUGUAUAUCUACUUAUGCCCCCUUGCCCCGUUCAUAUUCAACAAAUUUAGUAAGUAAUCAGUGUAUUCAUGAUUAGACCAAAGAUAAAGUUUAUAGGAAAAUAGGUGCGAUUGCAUCCUACAUAUGAACUAAAACAAUGUGUGGAUGUUGUAACUAUUGGCUUGUACUAUAGAAUAAGCUUAAAAUAUCAGAUAACACAGAGUGUCGACAUUUGGUAUUAUCCAGCUAUUUCCAUCAAAUGUUGAUGCAUGUUUCCAAUACUUCUAGGAGUAGUAGAUCAUAUCCAUUCUGCCAUAUAAUGCUAGCAUAGAAAAGUCAGUUUGUAUGUUGAAGACAGUUUUGUAGUGUACUAUUUUCCCAUCUACUUAUUUUAUCUAAAAGGCUAGUGGCAUAUGGAAGUUUGUUUUUGUUCCUACCUUUAGAUUAUUUCUGUGUAGACUAUGUUCUUGACCACAUCAUCCUUGUUGUUAGUUCAUUUGCUAUAGAAAUGAAAAUAACAGGUAUGAUCAAGUGAGUAGGCUAUUACUGGCAAGUGUUUUCUCAAAGUAUCUCCUUUUUCUUAUGUCCCUCAUGAACUCAUUGAGCUUUAUGUGGAACAUUCGAUCAACAAUAUCAGGCUUCUAUGAUGUUGUUUGGCCUACUUCCAUAAGCAUGGAUUGAAUAUCCAGCCAAGCUGCGUUGCAUGUGAAUGCCAUAAAUAGGUCUGUGUAUCAAGCCCAUCGACAUCUUGCUAUAGCAUCUUGGUAGUUUUGUGCUUGUAUCUGAGGUUAUCUAUGAGGCUAGAUGGAAGUAGUAUUCUCCUUCCUACCUUUGUCAGCCCUUGUAUCUCCUCUUUAUGUUGUGUCCUGCAAGUCAGCAUAUAAUUCUGCUCUUAUGUUUGCUUGAUGUUUUUUGAUCCAGUCUAGUCUGUACUACAAAAUGCAUGCAAGGGCAUCCAUUUUGAACUUCUGAAGUUGCUCUUUUGUUGAGGUUCUUCUCGCCUUAUAUGCAUGUCACAAGGCCCUUCUCAAGUUGCUCUUUCUUCAUACCAAAAUAUUGCACCACACCAUUCACACUUGUGGCUUGGACUUCCGAAGUCCCAAAUUUCCAUAUAUGUCCUUUUCAAUGUCCUGUUUAAGUUUCUGAAUUUAGCAUCAAUUGAAUAUUAGUAUGUUCUUUUUUCUUAAUAAUACAACAAACUUAAUAGAACUGACAUAUCUAGUUUUUCCGCCCUUGAUUUUUCUAUUUUACACUUUGUGUUACUUUUAGUCAUGUACACACGCUUAACCGAAUUACCAUGUUCAUGAAUGUCCAAAUUGUAGAUCUUGAUUGAAUUUUCUUGCUACUUACCAUGUAGUUUUACGAGCCAAUGCUUUCCUAUGGCAAUUCGACAAUGCUGAUUUUGCCUCGGUCAAUGCACAUGAUCGACAUCUGUACAUGAUAUGGUUCCCUGUGGUAAUUCAACAAUGUUGAUUUUGCCCUUGUCUUGAUUAAGCCAUGUUGCAUGGAAAUGUGUUUUCAUGUUUUUUUAAAAGCUGAUAGGUACAAUCAGGAACAAAUGCAACAUGUUUUUGUCAUUUAAUAUAGCACUUGGAAGGAAUGGAACACAUAGAUAUCACAAUUGAUGCGCAAAGAAGAAGCAAGCUAUAAUGUUGCUUCGAGUAUAUUGUACUACAGUCAUGCAACAUGUAAGGGAAGUUUAGCAAUUGAAUUAAGAACAGUAAGUUAAGAUAGUGGAUGAUAAUACACAUGAGAAUACCUUUGUGAUGAUUUUCUUAUCGCACGUGGUACGCAUAUUUGUGCAGUCUGGCACAUCUCCAUGUAUGAUCAAACGCUGUCUCUUUUUGUUGUCUUGAAGUUUCAUUGUCCUUUCCUAAUCCUGUCUUGGUAUUAUUGAUUGUCUGGAUUCACAUCAGUAUUAUAAUAAUUUUUUUCUGGCUUAAAUCAGUUAUAAACCCAAAUGUGCCAAACUUGAAUUAUUGCAUUAUAUAAUUUAGGUGUAACAUUUUUGUGAUAUCACUUAUUAGAAGUGCAUGAUUAGCAAUGGAUCACCUUGUUGGAUUGUAUAUUUGAUUGCUUUUAACUACCUUGGUAGGUUUCUCACAUUAUUGCAAUGUGGUCCACCUUUUAUUUUCAUCGUUUCUUCCUGCACAAUUUAGAAAACAUGUAUUAGAGAAGAUGAUAUUGUAAAAUUGGUAUGGAGUACUGCUGAAGGUUAUGGAGAUUUAUGAUUUUGAUUAAUUAUUCGCCUUACAAUUUUUUGUUUUGUUGUAGAAGAAAAGGAGAUCAACUUCCAAGAUCAGUUAUUGUGGUGAAAGCUUUAAUGUUAAAAUGGAUGUUAAGUUUCAAUCAUCAUGUGAAGACAGUGAGGGUCUUUUACCCUUCUGUUGCAGUUAGAUGACAGUCUAUAGAAAACCUUAUAUGGGUGAAGAAAUAGAUUGUGAUUGAGGAUGGCAAGUUCAUGUACAAUUACGAUUGAAGAAUCGCAAGGGAACUUGCCUGAUCUAAAUUUGAAAGCUAUUUGAUUAUUUACCUUGAGUUGAAACGUGGUGUGUACCUUUGAUCAUGUUCCUCUGUGAUUUCCAUGGUGAUUGGGAAUCAAGUGGUGUAGACAAGAUGAGGAGGACUUGGAAUGAGAGGAGCCAUGGCAAGCUAGCAUUGAAGGAUGAAGGGACUCACACAGGUGAUCUUCCAACAUAGAUGUGAUGGUAGAUGUGUUUUCUAUUGGAUUGAAAGGAGGGAGGUGGUCCUCAUGUAGAUAAAAGAGAUAUGCUAUGUAUUCUAUUUUUUCUUUUCUAUUGAGAGGUACUUCCAUUUUCUCUAUGGUAGCCCAGAGGUGGAAACGUGGGAUCACGUUAUAAAAAUCGGUUGGUCCUAACUAAUUGAUCACUGGAACAUAAAUUAAUUGAUUGUUGGAAAAACUAAUCUUUUUU